AUCUCUUGCAAAUUGGAACCUUGGGGAUAAUCCACUGAUUACACCUGCCUCAUCCAAUCUGAUGGGAAGAUUGCAUGGGAAGAUUGCACGGUGGAGGGGCAUCUGUGUGGUAAUAAUAACUGCAUAAGCAUCAUAUCGUGCAAACCUCACAAUAGGUAUAAAAGGACCAUAGCACUGUCACUCACCUGUGCUUUUGCUAGGAAGAUCUGACCCUGUCCUUGACUGUGGCCUGGCUCAUG